CUGCUCAAAAUAAUUUCAUCUGAUUCUUUAUGGGUGAUUCAUUGAUGUUAGCUUGAUUCUUAAAAAUAACUGCAAGAUCAUAUCACUGUUUUCCAUCCACAUAAUCUCCUUUCUAUUUAAGCAGAGAUAAGAUCCGAAGGAAUGUUAGUUUAGAAGCGUAACCCGUGUUUCGAUCCUGUCGGAGCUCCACCGCGACCACCGAGGACCAUAGUCAAAAGCGUAACCCGUGUUUCGAUCCUGUCGGAGCUCCACCGCGACCACCGAGGACCAUAGUCAAAAGCGUAACCCGUGUUUCGAUCCUGUCGGAGCUCCACCGCGACCACCGAGGACCAUAGUCAAAAUUUCAUUCGCUGCAGAAGGGUAAGUGACAAUCACUUCUAUGGCACCAUCUCAGAAUGUACUGCCAAGUGGAUUCGGCUUAAAAAUCUAUAAGGACUUGAAGUUCUCAACCUUCCACCUGAUAUCCAAGAGAUCCUACAACACUUGAGAAUGAGAGUACUGCAAGAACCAUUCAGUGGCUCUAAAAUCAUACAUGGGGAAACUAUCCGAGCAUAAGUUUGGGGCAUGUGACUGGUACAGUGUUGCGUCCUCCAGGAUAUGCACAUUCUUGGUGUUCAUUCUCUUCUUAUUAUUUUGAUAGAAGGGAACUGACUGCUUUUCCUUUAUUAGUGUCGGUGGCUGAAAAUCCUUCUAGCUACGGUUGUGAAGUUGAUCAGCCUUUUAGAUAAGAUUGUGACAGGUGCUCAGAUGGGAGUUAUCAGUCUCAUAAUGAGAGGUGAGCAUAUAUUUCUCAUGAUUGUAUUGCAAAACCCUCCUGCAGGGUCCUAUUCUUUGAGGGAAAAUAUAUAUGGUCCCUUGAUCUCCGGUUGGCUUCUCUAACUGCAAUCAGGAAUUGGUCAGUUCACUUACAGAAUGUGUUCUUUACAUUAAAAGAAAAAGAUUCUGCCGGGGAGAUCCAGUUGAGAUGGAUCACCAUAAUCUGCAAUGCUCCCCAUCACUGAUUAAAAUUUUCCAGAGAUCGACUGCCUGAUGGAAUACUACAUAGAAGGAUAGGCAAAGCUAAAGAUGAAGAUUGCAAAGGGUGAUGAAUGUGAUUAGGAUAAAAUGUGAUAAAGAAUAAGAUUAGUGGAGUGCUUGAGAGAUAAGUGUAAUUGUUCAGUUUUGUUACUUUCUGCGACGAAGUUAUAAAUAUCCGUUGCAAACAACUUGAAACUUCUGUUUCCAUCUUAAUAUCAAAUGUUUACUAAAAAAAUUAAGGAAAUUCUUAGGAAAAUAGCGACAAAGAAAUGAGAACUUAUGAUGUAAUUUGUAAUACGAGCUAUAUUGGAGCAGCUAAUUACUGUAUAAAAGAUUGAGAUCUUGUGUGAAAAAAAUUAAAGUGAUAUAGUUGAAGGGCAAAGUAACCGGCUAUUUUAUUAGACAUUUCAAUAUAAACAUAUAAGUAAUUCUUCAGCUGAAUAGUUAAUUUAGAGGGAAGGGGAGAGAAGGAAUUCUUCAAUGUUGAUUUGCAUCAAGGCACUCAGAGGCAGUCCCGUUCGUGAUCGGACCUCCAAGGGUUCGGUUGCCUGUAUAUACAAGGUACUUUAUAAUGUACCUCAAAUUAUGACAAAUAUAAACAUGUGAUAAUCCUUGCCUGCAAAAUAUAAUAUUUGAUUAUAAAAUCCGGUACUUUACUUAAACAAUCAAAGUAUAACAAUCAAAUAAACCUCCGGUUUAUACAAAUAUAAAAUAAUCUUUGUCAUUUAUAAGUGUAUAAAAUAGUCUUUAAUUGUUAAUUAAUCAGCUCCAGAUACAGUUUAUUCUUAUUUUGAUGUCUCAAAGGUUUAUGUUUAUAAAUGUAAAAAAAAUUAAACAAUUAAAGAUUAUACGAAUACCCCGGACGUAGUCCGGGAAAAUCCCUAGUGGGACAUAAAAGUUUAUCAACUACGAAGGAAACAAGGUAUUUCUCUACUUCUUUUUACUUAUAAAUUGAUUUUAAUAUAUGUUUUGUGACUUCUCUUUAGGAAAUUUAUGUUAUCUAUUUACUAUUUCAAUUGUUGCAAAUAAAAAAUUGGGAGUACACCCUGAGUUUGCAGAAAUAUAUGGUAAAAAAAGUUUGCAGAAAUAUUUUAAAACAACAGAAUAUCAGUAUUAUUUUUGUAAAGUAUUAUCCCAGUUCAUCUAAAAGAUAACUUUAAAUAGAAUUUGGAUUCCCUGCGAAUACAUUUUUUGUUCAAGGCUCUAAGUAAAUGUUUGCUACUUUAAUAAUUAGAAAUAGAACAAUGAAAAAAAUGUAGACAUUAAAAAUAAUAUACAUGUGUUUUUAGAACUUGGAAGAUGAUGAACGUGUUUGAGAA